UCUCUCUCUCUCUCUCUCUCUCUCUCUCUCUCUCAAUAAUAAAUACACAUUAAAAAAAUUUUUUUUAAAGGGGGGGUGUUUAAAAUGCAGUGAGGAGGCUAUUAAGGAGAUAGACCUUAUGCACAUCCUCAUUAAUGAAACCGUAAACUUUGAACUGGGCCAAAUUGCAAAGAUUCCAGACUCUGCCCAAAUGCCUGCAACUUUCUUCAGUUAGAGAUUUUGCUCAGUAAUAGACUUAGCAACCAACUAUAUUCAGCCAACGUUAGUUUUCUGCCACCAACACCAAUCACAAUUCUUUGUAAACACAUAUAAAUGUCUUUUAAAACCUUUGACUUUUGUUCCGUAAGGGAACUUGGGUUGCUGCCCAAGUCUGUGCUCCCUGAAUUACAGUUCUGAGACCCUGAAUACAUGCUUUUGUUUUAUUUCAUCUUUGCCUCUUGGUCCACAUGACAUCUCUCAAUAGAACAAGAAAGGAUUAUGAAUAAAAAGGAAAGAAGUAACAGAAAUUAGGAGUGACACUAAGUUAAAAGAUCAGUGGAGAGAAUAAAAAUACUAAAUCUGAGUAAAAUAGAUGUAGCUCUAGAACAAGAGUUGGCAAAUGUUUUCUGUAAAGGGCUAGAUGGUACAUAUUUUGGGCUUUGGGUGCCAUAUGGUCUCUGUCACAGUUACCUUGUCAUCGUAGCAUGUUAGUUUGCAAGCUCCUCGGGAUCUUCCCAGAUAUAAUCUGAGACUGGCCCCUGUACUAGGAGGGCAGGGAGAGACAGAAGAAACAGGCGGGUCACUCCAGGUUGGUAGGUGGCAGGUUUCAUGAGCAUGGGAUCUUACAUAUGAGGUUUGUCUUGGGUGGCCGCAAGGCGAGUAGAUCUCCACACCCACCUGCCAAAUCUUAAAAAUUUAUAUAGAGACCUUGACUGGGUUCAGUCCUGUGUACCGUCCAGAUGGUCUCAACAUCAAAUCACUAUCUCAAGGCUAUGUCAUUGACAAUGGUAAAUAACCUUACCUUAACAACAGCUAGCCCCUCAAGGCCCUGGAAACCUUGCUUCCAAAUUCCUUAGAGACUUAUGCUAUCCCUGACCCCCUUCCAACCUGAAGGUAUAUAAUCUGUCAUCCGUCACAACCCCAAUGCAGCUUUUUCUGCCCACGGGUCCUGUCCCCGUGCUUCAAUAAAACCCCCUUUUUGUACCAAAGACGUCUCAAGAAUUCUUUCUUGGCUGUCGGCUCUGAACCCCCACAUUUCCACAUCAUUUGGUGACCAUGAAGGGACUCAGUCUUCCCAUCUAGACUCUGAGCCUCAGUGCGAACUUGGGGCCCUGCUUUUCGUCGUCGUCUGUCAGACUGAUGGAGACUUCAGCUCGGCACCUGCUCACGGAGGCAGCACAGAGACGCAGCGGGACCAUGGCAGAAGGAGGACCCCCAGCUCCAGAUAAAGGAUGUUUCCAUCUCUCCCCACCAGGGACACAGCGGGGCGCUCCCGGGGGCGCUCCCGGGGCGCUCCCGGCAGACGUCCCAGCCGACUCAGCUGUGAUGCCACCCUCUGGACACAGGAAGACAGGGACAGCUGGAGGGCCAGUGGCUUAGCGCUGGGGCGCACGGACACCAGGAGCUGCAUUACCUUCCCCGCACGUGUACCGUUUCUCCUCAUAGGAUGUAUCCGUGAACUCCAGGAGCAUGCGGAUGGCGUGCGCCAGCUGAGGGAGAAAGCCCCUCCUCGGUCAGCGCCUGCGCGGCGCCCAGUUGACCACAACCCCCGCACGCCAACUGCCCCUUCCAAGGCUGUGGAGGCCGUGCAACCUGCCCAGGCGGUAGUUAAGCGGCACGUCCACCACCUUCUCCCCCACCCGCCCUCCCCGAGAUGGGCCAAGGCAGCUUGGUAUCUUCAGCCCUCUCCGCGGCCCGCGAUCCCAGAGGCGGGAUGGGGUCGGCCCCCGUGGUCCUGGAGCUCGGCUGGGGCAGGCUGCUCCGUGGAGAGAGACGCGGGGGCCCUGAGUAGACCCCUUUUCUAAGAGGCCUCUGACCCUGAGCCCCCGGCCGCCUCCACGACCAUCUCCCUGACCUAGUGGCUCUGCGGUCGAGACCGCACUCACCCCGCGAAUAUCCCAGUAACCCAGAACCAUGGUCGACUCGGACAACGACAUGCCGAUGCUUUCCCCGUGCCUUCGCGGGCUGGCGGUAAACUGCGAACGCACGGGGCUUUAUAGCCCACGUAAGUAGGCGGUGCCAACGCGAGCGCUCUGGCUCCGCCCCCACCCGUCGCCCUUCCCUCCAGCGAGUGUCCGCAAGCCGCGCGCGCGCGCCGUGCACCCUCUACACUUUCUGGGUUUGGAGGCUGGGCAGCGGAGGUGGCUGUUGGGUAUGGGGCUCUGCGCUCCCCCGCGGUGGAGUUGCUCUCACUUGGCUAGUAGUGCCGGUCAGGGCUGGAGGAGCAACAACGCAAGCGGUGAGGGCCCUGGUUAGUCCUGGAGAGUGAGUUUCAUGUCCUAUUUCUCCAGCAGCAGUCGGUGGGUGGGGAGGUAAAGGAGGUGAACAAACCCCAAGAGGUGAUCAAGGAAAUAUUCAACUUUUAAUGUGUGUGGGCUCUGCUCCUGGGCUCCCAGGGCAGCUCUACUUUUACCAAGGUCAGAAUGACUUCACCAAACUUCAAAGUGUGGGCUCUAUUUCUACCCUGAGCACACAUUGCACAUCUACUUCAUUAGUAAAUAACCCAAAAGAAAUAUUUCAAAGAUAAGAAUAAAAACCUCCCUAAAUUCUGUUCUCAUACCUCCGAAGCCUGCAACCUUGACAUACUAAAAGCAUAAGACAAAGUUUGUGAUUUUUGGCAAUGUGCUUCAUCAUGAUGAUUUGUAACUCUUGAUGUAACAAAAAACCAUAUAUAACCCUGUAUUAAACAUUCCUUCUCAUGGGACACUCUCUUUGUGAGGAUUGUGUGUUCUGGGCAGCUGUCUUCCCUUGGGCUUGAAUAAAACUUUCUUCCUUUUUUAAA